rnacentral:rRNA from 1 species
UACGAAGGGUGCAAGCGUUACUCAGAAUUACUGGGCGUAAAGCGUGCGUAGGUGGUUUGUUAAGUCUGCUGUGAAAGCCCCGGGCUCAACCUGGGAAUGGCAGUGGAUACUGGCAAGCUAGAGUGCGGUAGAGGGGUGUGGAAUUCCCGGUGUAGCGGUGAAAUGCGUAGAGAUCGGGAGGAACACCAAUGGCGAAGGCAGCACUCUGGGACGUGACUGACGCUGAGACGCGAAAGCGUGGGGAGCAAACAGG